rnacentral:rRNA from 1 species
ACUCCUACGGGAGGCAGCAGUGGGGAAUAUUGGACAAUGGGCGCAAGCCUGAUCCAGCCAUGCCGCGUGAGUGACGAAGGUCUUCGGAUUGUAAAGCCCUUUUGCCAGGGACGAUAAUGACGGUACCUGGAGAAUAAGCCCCGGCUAACUUCGUGCCAGCAGCCGCGGUAAU